rnacentral:rRNA from 1 species
ACGGCGAGUGAAGCGGCAAGAGCUCAACUUUGGAAUCGCUCCGGCGAGUUGUAGUCUGGAGGUGGCCACCACGAGGUGUUCUAGCAGCAGGCAAGUCCUUUGGAACAAGGCGCCAGCGAGGGUGACAGCCCCGUACCUGCUUUUGCUAGUGCUUCCUGUGGCCCACCGACGAGUCGAGUUGUUUGGGAAUGCAGCUCUAAGUGGGUGGUAAAUUCCAUCUAAGGCUAAAUAUUGGCGAGAGACCGAUAGCGAACAAGUACAGUGAUGGAAAGAUGAAAAGCACUUUGAAAAGAGAGUGAAACAGUACGUGAAAUUGUUGAAAGGGAAGGGCUUGCACCCAGACACGGUUUCGGCCGGGCCAGCAUCAAGUAGAACGGGGUUAAAAGACUUGGGGAAUGUAGCUACUUCGGUAGUGUUAUAGCCCUUGGUGAUGACCCCUGUUUUGCUUGAGGACAGCGGUCUCUAGGAUGCUGGCGCAAUGGUUGCAAGCCACCCGUCUUAACACGGGGAACCA